rnacentral:lncRNA from 1 species
AUGCAUUUGGAACCUUACAGAAUAUUGCCAAGUUUGCAUUCAUUUCUUCACCCAUUUUCUGAAAGACUACGUGAUGUUGCACCACUAGCUCAGAAAAAGAAGCACUCCAAACACACCUUAGGGGUUCUGGGUCACCUGGACCUUCUUAUGAUCCUGCUAGGUGGAAUAAUUUAUCCUGUCCUGAGCUUGACAUAUUUGUAGCACCUACUGAGAAGAUGCCAAUCAAUUAUGGAGAACAAAUGAGUCAGGGAAAAAGCAAGGGCUUCGUAUUACAAGAAAAGGAUCCUUUUUGUCCAUCUCUAAUCACUGUCUCAGCCACAGCAGUUUAAAAGGAGGAUAGAGGACAGAUGCUUCUAACAUUCUCCAAGUUUUUGAGAACUUUGUAUAGAACUCAAAAAAUGAAUAUCAACAGCACUAUCUCUUAGAGAAGUUAUGAUCUUUAGUGUCUCUCUCAGCUUUCCAUAAGCCUGCUUAUACACAUUCUCAAGGAGUUAUACUCGUGUGCAAUUAAAAUGAAAUACUAAUUUAUAUUAAAAAAAAAAAAAGACUGUGCUUGCAGAAUAUAACUCCAUUCUAAUGAAUUUCAUAAUACAUUUAUUCAGUGGAGAAAAGACUUUUUUUAGCCAGCAAAAUCAAUUUUCUGAUCUCCAACUGGACAUUUUAUCCUCUACUCUUCUGAUCUUCUGGUGGCAUCAUGAAUUUCACAGACAGCUUUGUUAAUCAGCAGAGUGCUUCAGAAGAGAGUUUCCUCAGCUAAAUGUAGUUACUAUUUCUCUUUAAACAUCCAUGUUUUAAGUUCCUGAAUUAUAACUUUGAACCCAACAUUCCUACAGUAGUGUUGUACUUACAGUAUGCAAGAGGCUAAGGUAGAGUUAAUUAGUUCAGAGGAUACUACGAGUGGUUCAGACUAUAAUUUAUGGGGACUAUAUUGGGGUUUUUUUAUAAAAGAUAUAUAUACAUUAUUAAUUUUGUACCUCAGUAUUCCUAUGCCUUUGCUGGCACUUUCACCAAGUUUUUUUUUCUGAAAUUUCAGAUUGUGUUAUGGCAGAUUAAGACAUCUAAAUUAUAUUCCACGUGUCAGUGGUCUUCACAAUAGGAAGUACUCUGAAAUACGUGUUUCCAUUUGCUGCCAACUUUAACUUUUUUGUGUUUGUUUUAUUUUUAUUUGUUAGUUUGUUUUAUUUCUCUGUUUUACUGUUGAAUUCUGGUAUUUAUUCUGGUCUGCUUGAUAUAAGCAUUGACUUUAAACUAUUCUAAGAGAAAUUGUUCAAUUGAGAAGAAGGGAAAAAUGUUCCUGCUUGAGAGCAUCAUGAUAAAAUGAUUACACAUGCUCACAUAAAAUGAAUAUUUAUGUUAUUCUGUCUCUGAUAAGUUCAGUACUUUUGUAACUGUCACAUAGGUUAAGACAGAAAUCUUGUUAAUUGUCUAGAGAACAAAAGUAAUCUCACAUAUUCUGGAAGCCUUCAGUGAUAGCUGUGUCACACAGCAGAAUAAUCUUAUGUGACAUUGAUUAAGGUGUACAGUGACUCUUUAGCUAAACUAGAUACAUGUUUUGAGUUAAAGUCUUAACAAUCAAUGAUGAAAACAUGCCAACACUUCAAAAGAUUGUUCCAUCUUCAACUACUUUGUAUUUCCUUAGUUUUCUCUAUUGUGAAUAAAAAUUAAGGAAUUAAGUUUUAUCUGAAAAAA